UGAGAGCGUUCCCUUCAGUUUGCAUGCAAUCCCCAUACCCCCACCAUUAAAUGAUGAGCAAGCUCUCAGUAGCCUUACUAUACGUAGAUUCUUAUCUAAGAAGCAGUAGGUUGUGAUGUCGGUUGUUUUAAAAGAUAAUUAAAAUUAAAAAAUAUAAUUAUAAAGUAAAAUAAAUUUCUAAUUUGAACCAGUACUAAGUUUCAUAUAAAUUUACGCGUAAAAAUUAACAAAAAUGUGUUAAAUCUCGAUUGGUUUGAGUAAAUUCCACGCCCACGAUUAUAUCAUGACGCAUCAGAGUAUGGUGGAUAUUUAAAAGCUGUUUAAAGUGACUCAAAAUUAUUAUGAGUGUGAAUGGAGCAGAUAUCAGAUAAAUUUAAAAUUAUUAAUUAAUAGAACUGCAGAGACAAAGCGCUCCAGAUUAGUAACACCUAUUAAGUCACUACCAGGAAAUCAGCCCCAAGGUUUUUAUUUUUUCACAAAAUUUUUUUUCAAUAAAAAAAUUAAUUUUUAUUCAAAUUUAUAAACUAAUAAAUUCAUAAUUUUUUUUUUAAUCAUGCCAUUUUUAAAAAUUGGAGUUCGUAAGAAGAUUGGAUGUAUUUAUGACGUCAUCCAAGUAUAGAAUCAAGUUACACUGCUUUAUAUUUAUUUCUCUUUCUUUGUCGUUUAUUUCAUUAUUCUUUUGCACGCCUCGUAGUGCUCCACUCUCAACACGUCAAGGUCAAGCAAUUUUUAUUAGUAUGCCAGAGUGUCAAUGAAGUGUUGAGCUAACUUUCAAAACCAGCUGACGAAUAAAUCUACUCCGUUUAGAAAUAUUUUAAUUAUUAAUUGUUUUGUCAUUAAUUAAAUAAGAUAGAUGUCUAGUAUUUGUAAUUCACAAAAAAAAAAAAAAUUUAAUGAUUUGAUUAAAAUUUUUUUACAGGACAUUGAGUAAUUUAAAAAUUACCUCAGUACUUUGUUUUAAAUUCAUCAUUUUAAAAACUUUAUGAUUCUGAAGUUAACAGACAAUAAAAAAUUUUCGGAUUUUUUUUUCAACAAAUAAAUUACAAAAAAAAAAAUCUAAAAAUAUCCACAUGUAGAAAAUUUAAAAAACUAAAAGUGCAAUUUUUUCAAAUAUUUUUUUUUUAUUAUUUAUCGUUUCAAAUAAAUUUCAAAAAUUAUUAGACGUCGGCUAACUUCAGUAUCAUUAACAAUUUUCGGUUUUUAUUUCAACAAAUCAAUGUGAGUGUGAAGAC